GCUGGGUGUGGUGGUGUACACCUGUAAUCCCAGUUACUCGGGAGGCUGAGGCAGGAGAAUCAUUUGAACCCAGGAGAUGGAGUUUGCAGUGAGCCAAGAUCAUGCCACUGCACUCCAGCUUGUGUGACAAAGUGAAAUCCUGUCUCAA
ensembl:misc_RNA Metazoa_SRP Metazoan signal recognition particle RNA